GUUUUAAUAGUUUAAAAUAAAACAUUGGUCUUGUAAAUCAAAAUUAAGGUUAAUCCUUUUAAAACU
rnacentral:tRNA from 1 species